UUUUCUCUCUUUUCCGGCUGCUUUCUUUUGGGGCAAAAUCAAACACACACAACACCUUGCAGUGUGUGGAUUAUAGCGAGAGAUUCGGGCAACACGACGAGCCGCUGUUUAGUUCCCUCGCUGCCCUUAAUCACUUUCCGCCCCAAUUGCGCCGCUGGUUUUGUUGAUGCAUUUUCUUGUAUCAAAUUCAUCACUUUUUUUUUCGAAUUGGCUGAUGAUGUGAGGGG